rnacentral:rRNA from 1 species
AGCAGCCGCGGUAAUUCCAGCUCCAAUAGCGUAUAUUAAAGUUGUUGCAGUUAAAAAGCUCGUAGUUGAAUUUCGGGAUCAAAGAAUCGGUCAUGCCUUGGUAUGUACUGGUUUUAUUGGUUCUCACCUUCUAAAGAACCACGAUGUCAUUCAUUUGAUGUUAUGGGGAAUUAGGACUGUUACCUUGAAAAAAUUUAGAGUGUUUAAAGCAAGCUUACGCUUGAAUACAUUAGCAUGGAAUAAUGAAAUAGGACAUCAGAUUCUAUUUUGUUGGUUUCUAGGAUCGAUGUAAUGAUUAAUAGGGAUAGUUGGGGGCAUUAGUAUUCAAUUGUCAGAGGUGAAAUUCUUGGAUUUAUUGAAGACUAACUACUGCGAAAGCAUUUGCCAAGGAUGUUUUUCAUUAAUCAAGAACGAAAGUUAGGGGAUCGAAGACGAUCAGAUACCGUCGUAGUCUUAACCAUAAACUAUGCCGACUAGGGAUCGGAUGAUGUUAAUUUUUUUAAUGACUCAUUCGGCACCU